rnacentral:rRNA from 1 species
UACAGAGGUCCCAAGCGUUGUUCGGAUUCAUUGGGCGUAAAGGGUGCGUAGGUGGCGCCGUAAGUCAGGUGUGAAAUUUCGGAGCUUAACUCCGAAACUGCAUUUGAUACUGCGGUGCUUGAGGACUGGAGAGGAGACUGGAAUUUACGGUGUAGCAGUGAAAUGCGUAGAGAUCGGCAGGAACACCCAGGGGGAAACCAGCCGGCUGGGGACGUGCUGACGCUCAGGGGCGAAAGCGUGGGGAGCGAACCGG